rnacentral:lncRNA from 1 species
AUCCUAACAGGAUGAGGCCAUGGAAGAACUCCUAACAUGGCGAAUAUGAUUUCAAUAAAAAAUCAUUGCUUUUGGGGCUUCAUUAGUGGGGUAUCACCGGUAGUGCCUUGAUCCAGACCGAAAUGAGUUUGAGAUGAAACAUCCAGUUCCUUGAUGGUUUAUCAGAUAAACACAGUUCGUCUGAUGGCCUAAAAUUUAUUUGCUAGCG